UCCGAGUUGUCCCCGGCAGUCCCCCUAGAGUGCCCAACUGAAUGGUGGCAACUAAAGGCAAGGGUUGCGCUCGUUGCGGGACUUAACCCAACACCUCACGGCACGAGCUGACGACAGCCAUGCAGCACCUGAACCGGCAGUCCCCGAAGGGAAAAUCCUAUUUCUAGGACGAGCCGCCGUUGUCUAGCCCAGGUAAGGUUCUUCGCGUUGCGUCGAAUUGAACCACAUGCUCCACCGCUUGUGCGGGUCCCCGUCAAUUCCUUUGAGUUUUAACCUUGCGGCCGUACUCCCCAGGCGGUCAACUUCACGCGUUAGCUUCGUUACCAAGGAAUUGCUUCCCCGACAACCAGUUGACAUAGUUUAGGGCGUGGACUAC
rnacentral:misc_RNA from 1 species